UAGGAGAAGAAAAACAAACUUUUUUUGCCCCUUCCAUUUUCAACGAUGUCAUAAUUUCGUGGGCUCCAUAUUACCUAGCGUCGAAAACUCCUGACCUGCCGUGGUGCGUCGACCUCAUCUUCGCGGAGCUUCACCAAAGUGUAGGUGGCAGAACCGAUCACAGCACCCAGUGUGGGCGCUAUCAAGUAAAUCCACAAUGCCCUAUAAUUCCCUGCUGCUACAGCCGGCCCCAGUGUCCUCACCGGAUUCAUUGAACCCCCACUACUUGGCCUGCAACACCAAAGGUCAACCACUCCUUUUUAUUUUUAUCACAAUUAUUGUCACCCACUUUUUAUAUUUCUAAUAUUUCUAUCAAAUGUCCAUCCAUGACACGUUGCUACCUAUGUUCCCAACUUGUCACUUCUGGUUUAUGUGUACACACCACGUCUAAUAAUUUAAUUAUAUAACUACAUCAGAAUGUUUAUUAUCAACUCGGUUUAAAUUUUAUUAAGAUAUCGGAUACUAUUUCAACGAGCAUUAGUUGGGAAAUAAGUCAGACUUCAUUAAAAUCCUCAUUUUUUUGUCCUUGAACCAAAGUAAAGUUUAACAAUAAUAUUUAAGAAACAAAAAAAGAUGAGACUUAUGAAUUUAUUAUAUUCAUUUCUAAGCAUGCAUCCCAUUAACUUUUAAGAAAAAAAAACAAGUUCAGACGAAAUAUAGAUUAGAAAGAAAAAAAAAACCUUAAAACAUGGCAACAAGAAAAAGGAAAUGGAUAAGGGUGAAGAGAAGAAGCGAACAAAGAACUCACCCAGCAACAAGAAUGUUGAGCAUUACAGUCGCCCCAACAGCUAUUCCAGCCAGCUCUCCCACCUGUAAGGUUAACAUGAUCACUUUCAACAUGGAAAUCGAUUUUCUUAAAAAAGAAAUGUUAAAUUUACAGUGUAAAGACAAACAUACGGCGCGGGUGUCGGUGGCAACGGCGGUGACGACGAAGAGAAGAUUAAAAGUAAUGAGGAACUCGAGUGCGAAAGCUUGUCCAUGGCUGACGGAGGGGACAGUAACGCCACCAGACAUGAAGGGAUGGAAGACUCCCUUUAGAGCGAAAGAAGCGCAAAUUGAAGCCGAAACUUGAGCUGCUAUGUAGGCUGGAACCUGAGUCCAGGGGAAAUGACGGCAGGCGGCAAAUGCAAUGGUGAGGGAAGGGUUAAGAUGAGCCCCAGAGAUGUG
rnacentral:lncRNA from 1 species